rnacentral:rRNA from 1 species
UACGAAGGGGGCUAGCGUUGCUCGGAAUCACUGGGCGUAAAGGGUGCGUAGGCGGGUUUUAAGUCAGAGGUGAAAUCCUGGAGCUCAACUCCAGAACUGCCUUUGAUACUGAAAGUCUUGAGUAUGGGAGAGGUGAGUGGAACUGCGAGUGUAGAGGUGAAAAUUCGUAGAUAUUCGCAAGAACACCAGUGGCGAAGGCGGCUCACUGGCCCAUAACUGACGCUGAGGCACGAAAAGCGUGG